rnacentral:rRNA from 1 species
GACGAACGCUGGCGGCGUGCUUAACACAUGCAAGUCGAACGGAAAGGCCCUGCUUUUGUGGGGUGCUCGAGUGGCGAACGGGUGAGUAGCACGUGAGUAACCUGCCCUUGACUUUGGGAUAACUUCAGGAAAUUGGGGCUAAUACCGGAUAGGAGCUCCUGCUGCAUGGUGGGGGUUGGAAAGUUUCGGCGGUUGGGGAUGGACUCGCGGCUUAUCAGCUUGUUGGUGGGGUAGUGGCUUACCAAGGCUUUGACGGGUAGCCGGCCUGAGAGGGUGACCGGCCACAUUGGGACUGAGAUACGGCCCAGACUCCUACGGGAGGCAGCAGUGGGGAAUAUUGCACAAUGGGCGGAAGCCUGAUGCAGCAACGCCGCGUGCGGGAUGACGGCCUUCGGGUUGUAAACCGCUUUCGCCUGUGACGAAGCGUGAGUGACGGUAAUGGGUAAAGAAGCACCGGCUAACUACGUG